UUAUUAGCUCUAAGGUCUUCCACUUCAAUUGACAAACAAGAAAAAUUACAAGGAAAAAAAAUGGACUGAAUUUCAAGCAAUCAUUUCACAUUAAAAAUAAAAAUAAAAAAGAACCACGAUUCAAAAGAUACCAUUUUAUGAAAUCCUUGAAUUUCCUCUAAAUACAAUUAUAUAAUAUGGUCCAGCUUCAAUUAAAAUUCCAUUAGGCAAAAAAGGUGCAAGAAAUGAAUUCAAUUAUGUGGAAUGUCCAAUUGCCCUCCAGACAAACACCUCAGCAGUUCAAAUGAUGGUCAAGCAUGAGUAAUAAAAGCUGAUGAUGAAAUUGAGCCCCACUACCAAAAGCUAGUUUCAGGACGAGAAGUGUCCAAGGCUUUAUAAUGAGCACAUUACCCCUAUUUCUAAUUGACAUGAGAUAUUAACACAUACCCCUCACACCUAGAGUGUGAAACAUUUAUGGGAGGUCUAAUAUUGAUUGGGGAGCCUUUGAUAUCAUCUUAAGGAAAUGGGCCAGGCCUAAUUCACCCCAAAAAAGCUUGUUCAAGGGGGGAAGGGAAGGGGGUGUGGGGGAGGAGGAGGAAGAAGAGUGCUCAAGGCUUUAUAAAGGCACAUUAGUCCUAUCUCAAACCGAUGUGGGAUAUCAAUAGUCUACAAUUAAAAACUCCCUUAAAAUAAGUAACCAAUAUAAGCAUGUAAAACAAAUUUCAUUAUCUUUAAUCUAUAUUUGCCAAAAAGUAGCUAUAUUAUAUUAUGGCAACAAUACCCAAUCACCAACUAAGGGAAUCAAGGGGGCAAGAUGCAUCAUUUAACUUUGGGGUUCAUCAAUAAACUCUGAUUUGUUCGAUUUCAUCACUAGACCUUACAUAAAAUUACAAAGUGAAAAAUCUUAAAGUUUGGUUUAACACACAUUUUAGCUACUCAUUUUUCAUAAACAAACACUUUGGUCCUUCAGAUUUAUAAAAUUCAACAUUAGUAAUUUUAAAAAUAAAUGGCAUAAUUUUACCAAAACUAGAUUUUUUUUUUCAC
rnacentral:misc_RNA from 1 species